rnacentral:rRNA from 1 species
CAAUAAGCGGAGGAAAAGAAACCAACAGGGAUUGCCCUAGUAACGGCGAGUGAAGCGGCAACAGCUCAAAUUUGAAAUCUGGCUACAUUCCGUGGUCCGAGUUGUAAUUUGUAGAGGAUGCUUUUGGUGAGGUGCCUUCCGAGUUCCCUGGAACGGGACGCCAUAGAGGGUGAGAGCCCCGUACGGUUGGACACCAAGCCUCUGUAUAGCUCCUUCAACGAGUCGAGUAGUUUGGGAAUGCUGCUCUAAAUGGGAGGUAUAUCUCUUCUAAAGCUAAAUAUAGGCUAGAGACCGAUAGCGCACAAGUAGAGUGAUCGAAAGAUGAAAAGCACUUUGAAAAGAGAGUUAAACAGCACGUGAAAUUGUUGAAAGGGAAGCGCCUAUGACCAGACUUGUUUCUGGCAGUUUCGUUAGCCCUCGGGCUGAUUUACUCUGUCCAGUACAGGCCAGCAUCAGUUUGCUGUCGGGGAGAAAGGCUCUGGGAACGUAGCUCCCUCCUUCGGGGGGGAGUGUUAUAGCCCUCUGCACAAUACCCUUCGGCAGACUGAGGACCGCGCUUCGGCAAGGAUGCUGGCGUAAUGG